rnacentral:rRNA from 1 species
ACAGCAGUAGCCGCGGUAAUACGAAGGGUGCAAGCGUUAAUCGGAAUUACUGGGCGUAAAGCGUGCGUAGGCGGUUUGUUAAGUCUGUUGUGAAAUCCCCGGGCUCAACCUGGGAAUGGCAAUGGAUACUGGCAAGCUAGGGUGUGUCAGAGGAUGGUGGAAUUCCCGGUGUAGCGGUGAAAUGCGUAGAGAUCGGGAGGAACAUCAGUGGCGAAGGCGGCCAUCUGGGACAACACUGACGCUGAGGCACGAAAGCGUGGGGAGCAAACAGGAUUAGAGACCCCCGUAGUCCCUGUCUCUUAUAC